UCGUCAGGUAGGAUAAUCCUUACCUGUUCCUCCUUCGGGAGGGCAGAUGUAGAAUAUGAUGACUGGAGAUCACAUGAUACGUGAUUAACGUCUCUGCGUAAUCAGGGCUUGCAAAAAAUUCAGCACACAACCACGGG